AUUGAACGCUGGCGGCAUGCCUUACACAUGCAAGUCGAACGGUAACAGGUCUUCGGAUGCUGACGAGUGGCGAACGGGUGAGUAAUACAUCGGAACGUGCCUAGUAGUGGGGGAUAACUACUCGAAAGAGUGGCUAAUACCGCAUGAGAUCUACGGAUGAAAGCAGGGGAUCGCAAGACCUUGUGCUACUAGAGCGGCCGAUGGCAGAUUAGGUAGUUGGUGGGAGAAAAGCUUACCAAGCCGACGAGCUGUAGCUGGUCUGAGAGGACGAUCAGCCACACUGGGACUGAGACACGGCCCAGACGCCUACGGGAGGCAGCAGUGGGGAAUUUUGGACAAUGGGCGCAAGCCGGAUCCAGCAAUGCCGCGUGCAGGAUGAAGGCCUUCGGGUUGUAAACUGCUUUUGUACGGAACGAAAAGCCCUGGGUUAAUACCCUGGGGUCAUGACGGUACCGUAAGAAUAAGCACCGGCUAACUACGUGCCAGCCGCCGCGGUAACAC
rnacentral:rRNA from 1 species